AACGAACGCUGGCGGCAGGCUUAACACAUGCAAGUCGAACGCUGUAGCAAUACAGAGUGGCAGACGGGUGAGUAACGCGUGGGAAUGUGCCUUUCGGUUCGGAAUAACUCAGGGAAACUUGAGCUAAUACCGGAUACGCCCUUCGGGGGAAAGAUUUAUUGCCGAAAGAUCGGCCCGCGUCCGAUUAGCUAGUUGGUGAGGUAAUGGCUCACCAAGGCGACGAUCGGUAGCUGGUCUGAGAGGAUGAUCAGCCACACUGGGACUGAGACACGGCCCAGACUCCUACGGGAGGCAGCAGUGGGGAAUAUUGGACAAUGGGCGCAAGCCUGAUCCAGCCAUGCCGCGUGAGUGAUGAAGGCCCUAGGGUUGUAAAGCUCUUUCGCCAGGGACGAUAAUGACGGUACCUGGAUAAGAAGCCCCGGCUAACUUCGUGCCAGCCGCCGCUGUAA
rnacentral:rRNA from 1 species